GAUGAACACUGGCGGCGUGCCUAAUACAUGCAAGUCGAGCGAACAGAUAAGGAGCUUGCUCCUUUGACGUUAGCGGCGGACGGGUGAGUAACACGUGGGUAACCUACCUAUAAGACUGGGAUAACUUCGGGAAACCGGAGCUAAUACCGGAUAACAUUUGGAACCGCAUGGUUCUAAAGUGAAAGAUGGUUUUGCUAUCACUUAUAGAUGGACCCGCGCCGUAUUAGCUAGUUGGUAAGGUAACGGCUUACCAAGGCGACGAUACGUAGCCGACCUGAGAGGGUGAUCGGCCACACUGGAACUGAGACACGGUCCAGACUCCUACGGGAGGCAGCAGUAGGGAAUCUUCCGCAAUGGGCGAAAGCCUGACGGAGCAACGCCGCGUGAGUGAUGAAGGGUUUCGGCUCGUAAAACUCUGUUAUUAGGGAAGAACAAAUGUGUAAGUAACUGUGCACGUCCUGACGGCACCUAAUCAGAAAGCCACGGCUAACUACGUG
rnacentral:rRNA from 1 species